rnacentral:rRNA from 1 species
CCUACGGGAGGCAGCAGUGAGGAAUAUUGGUCAAUGGACGGAAGUCUGAACCAGCCAUGCCGCGUGGAGGAUGAAGGUUUUCGGAUUGUAAACUCCUUUUGUUAGAGAAGAUAAUGACGUUAUCUAACGAAUAAGCACCGGCUAACUCCGUGCCAGCAGCCGCGGUAAUACGGAGGGAGCAAGCGUUACUCGGAAUCACUGGGCGUAAAGAGCGCGUAGGCGGGAUAGCAAGUCAGAUGUGAAAUCCUAUGGCUUAACCAUAGAACUGCAUUUGAAACUGUUAUUCUAGAGUAUGGGAGAGGUAGGUGGAAUUCUUGGUGUAGGGGUAAAAUCCGUAGAGAUCAAGAGGAAUACUCAUUGCGAAGGCAACCUGCUGGAGCAUAACUGACGCUGAUGCGCGAAAGCGUGGGGAGCGAACAGGAUUAGAUACCCCAGUAGUC